rnacentral:rRNA from 1 species
UACGUAGGGGGCAAGCGUUGUCCGGAUUUAUUGGGCGUAAAGAGCGUGUAGGCGGCCAUGUAGGUCCGUUGUGAAAACUCGAGGCUCAACCUCGAGACGCCGAUGGAAACCAUGUGGCUAGAGUCCGGAAGAGGAGAGUGGAAUUCCUGGUGUAGCGGUGAAAUGCGCAGAUAUCAGGAGGAACACCGGUGGUGUAGACGGCUUUCUGGACCGUAACUGACGCUGAGACACGAAAGCGUGGGUAGCAAACAGG